rnacentral:rRNA from 1 species
CAUAACCCCGUGGAAAAGCUGGGGAUAAUACCGGAUAACGCAUAUGUGCUGGAAUGCUUUAUGCGUAAAACGGAUUCGUCCGCCCAAGGAUGGGUCUGCGGCCUAUCAGGUAGUAGUGGGUGUAAUGUACCUACUAGCCAACAACGGGUACGGGUUGUGAGAGCAAGAGCCCGGAGAUGGAUUCUGAGACAUGAAUCCAGGCCCUACGGGGCGCAGCAGGCGCGAAAACUUUACAAUGCGGGAAACCGUGAUAAGGGAACACCGAGUGCCAGCAUCAUAUGCUGGCUGUCCAGAUGUGUAAAGUACAUCUGUUAGCAAGGGCCGGGCAAGACCGGUGCCAGCCGCCGCGGUAACACCGGCGGCCCGAGUGGUGACCGUUAUUAUUGGGUCUAAAGGGUCCGUAGCCGGUUUGGUCAGUCCUCCGGGAAAUCUGAUAGCUUAACUGUUAGGCUUUCGGGGGAUACUGCCAGGCUUGGAACCGGGAGAGGUAAGAGGUACUACAGGGGUAGGAGUGAAAUCUUGUAAUCCCUGUGAGACCACCUGUGGCGAAGGCGUCUUACCAGAACGGGUUCGACGGUGAGGGACGAAAGCUGGGGGCACGAACCGGAUUAGAUACCCGGGUAGUCCCAGCCGUAAACUAUGCUCGCUAGGUGUCAGGCAUGGCGCGACCGUGUCUGGUGCCGCAGGGAAGCCGUGAAGCGAGCCACCUGGGAAGUACGGCCGCAAGGCUGAAACUUAAAGGAAUUGGCGGGGGAGCACAACAACGGGUGGAGCCUGCGGUUUAAUUGGACUCAACGCCGGACAACUCACCGGGGACGACAGCAAAAUGUAGGCCAGGCUGAAGACCUUGCCUGAAUCGCUGAGAGGAGUGCAU